rnacentral:RNase_P_RNA from 1 species
UAAGCAAGUCAGCCUUAUCGCUUUAUGUAUAUAAAGAGGAAAGUCCGGACACCAUAGAGAAGCAUAAUGGAUAACAUCCAUCCGAUGUAAAUCGAGGACCAGUGCAACAGAAAGAAUGUACAGUUAGGCUGUAGUGAAACCAGGUAAACUCUAUGCGGUGCAAUGUCACGUAUAUUAGAGAUUGAGAACUUCUCGUUCGAUUCUAAGGGGUAGACAGAUAGAUUUUAAAAGCAAUUUUAAAACUAGAGAAAUGAUAGGGAUUCUUACUAAAGAAAAACAGAAUCCGGCUUAUUGACUUGCUUUUUUA